UACGUAGGCAGCAAGCGUUGUUCGGAGUUACUGGGCGUAAAGGGUGCGUAGGCGGUCCUAUAAGUAUGGUGUGAAAUCUCCCGGCUUAACUGGGAGGGUGCGCUAUAGACUGUGGGACUAGAGUGUGGGAGAGGAAAGUGGAAUUCCUGGUGUAGCGGUGAAAUGCGUAGAUAUCAGGAGGAGCACCGGCGGUGUAAACGCUUUCUGGACCAUAACUGACGCUGAGGCACGAAAGCGUGGGUAGCAAACAGG
rnacentral:rRNA from 1 species